rnacentral:rRNA from 1 species
CGGACGGGUGAGUAACGCGUGGGUAACCUGCCCUGUACAGGGGGAUAACAGUCAGAAAUGACUGCUAAUACCGCAUAAGACCACAGCACCACAUGGUGCAGGGGUAAAAACUCCGGUGGUACAGGAUGGACCCGCGUCUGAUUAGCUGGUUGGUGAGGUAACGGCUCACCAAGGCGACGAUCAGUAGCCGGCUUGAGAGAGUGAACGGCCACAUUGGGACUGAGACACGGCCCAAACUCCUACGGGAGGCAGCAUG